AACGAACGCUGGCGGCGCGCCUAAUACAUGCAAGUCGAGCGAGAAGGUGUAGCAAUACACUUGUAAAGCGGCGAACGGGUGAGGAAUGCAUGGGUAACCUACCCUCGAGUGGGGAAUAACUAGCCGAAAGGUUAGCUAAUACCGCAUACGUUUCCGGAACUUCGGUUUCGGAAAGAAAGCAAUACCGUGGGUAUUGCGCUCCUGGAUGGGCUCAUGUCCUAUCAGCUUGUUGGUGAGGGUAACGGCUCACCAAGGCUUCGACGGGUAGCUGGUCUGAGAGGACGAUCAGCCACACUGGCACUGCGACACGGGCCAGACUCCUACGGGAGGCAGCAGUAAGGAAUAUUGCGCAAUGGACGAAAGUCUGACGCAGCGACGCCGGCGUGGGGGGAGUGAAGGUCUUCGGAUUGUAAACCCCUUUCGGGAGGGAAGAUGGAGUGGGUAACCACUUGGACGGUACC
rnacentral:rRNA from 1 species